GGAUUCCUCAUGGGAUGACAAGGCCUUGCUCCAGGGAUGAUGUUUCCCACUAUAGGAGAACAGCUACUGUCUUUGAUGAACUGAGUCUACAGGGCUAUUGAAGGCUGGCCCUUCAUGAUCUCUAGAUAUUACCAAAAGUCCCAGAGAAAUGAGUGCAUGGAUGGCUUAAUGACAACCCACUUUCUUCUCUGGAAGAAAGAACUUAGUACAGCCCUACCAGAAGGUGGGAUGGCAAUGCCAUCUUCAGACUUGAGUGUUGGGGAGGCCUUUUCUGCUAACCAACAGCAAAUGUUUUACAAGAGAAACAGGACACAGAGUAGAUGAAGGCAGCCAUGGAAAAUCUGUAUGAAGUAUCCACUGUUGAUCUGUGCUUAAAAUACAGAAGGGAAAGUAAAGAAUAAAAAUGUGUCCAUGAGCAUCCCACCUGGCUUGCGUCCAGAUUGAACAAUUUGAACGCUAAGAGCAGGAUUUUGAUAG
rnacentral:lncRNA from 1 species